CCUACGGGAGGCAGCAGUGGGGAAUAUUGGACAAUGGGCGAAAGCCUGAUCCAGCCAUGCCGCGUGUGUGAAGAAGGUCUUCGGAUUGUAAAGCACUUUAAGUUGGGAGGAAGGGCAGUAAGUUAAUACCUUGCUGUUUUGACGUUACCGACAGAAUAAGCACCGGCUAACUCUGUGCCAGCAGCCGCGGUAAU
rnacentral:rRNA from 5 species